rnacentral:rRNA from 1 species
AGCCUACGGGAGGCAGCAGUGAGGAAUAUUGGUCAAUGGUCGGGAGACUGAACCAGCCAAGCCGCGUGAGGGAUGAAGGUACAGAGUAUCGUAAACCUCUUUUGUCAGGGAACAAAGGCGGGGACGUGUCCCCGGAUGAGUGUACCUGAAGAAAAAGCAUCGGCUAACUCCGUGCCAGCAGCCGCGGUAAUACGGAGGAUGCGAGCGUUAUCCGGAUUUAUUGGGUUUAAAGGGUGCGCAGGCGGCGAGUUAAGUCAGCGGUAAAAUUUCGGGGCUCAACCCCGACACGCCGUUGAAACUGGCUU